UUAGUGUCCAUGGUGAGCAAUGAGUGGGCGGAGCAAAACAAUUAACAUCAGGGAGAGACGGCAGACAGAAACAAGGGGAAAACACAGAUAGACACAUUACAUAUUGAUGGACAUGAAAUCUUCUCUCUCUGUUUAAUAUCAUGUCACUGUUCAUGCCUCCAAACAGAUCAGUUCCUCCAGUUGUCUCAGUCUUUUCUCCAGCACGGACGCCUUGUUCCUCUCAUCCGUCUCCAGCACGGACGCCUCAUCCGUCUCAUCCGUCUCCAGCUCGGACGCCUCGUCCCUCUCAUCCGUCUUCAUUUGACAUCCCUGAAAGUUCACAUCCACAUGUUAUCAGACUUAUUUUCUCUGUUAGUUCUGUGUAAACUCUGGAGACUCUAGCUAGCUUUAUCAGCAGUUUAUGAAAUACUAAAACCAGUCCUUCUUUUUCUUCAUUCUGAUGUUUGUGACAUGAACAUUAACGGAAGCUUUUGACAUGAAUCUGAAUAAUUGUAUACAUUGUGCAGCUGCCACAUGAUUAAAUAACUGCAGAAAUGAAUUGA